GCCGGGCGCGGUGGCGCGCGCCUGUAGUCCCAGCUACUCGGGAGGCUGAGGCAGGAGGAUCGCUUGAGCCCAGGAGUUCUGGGCUGUAGUGCGCUAUGCCGAUCGGGUGUCCGCACUAAGUUCGGCAUCAAUAUGGUGACCUCCCGGGAGCGGGGGACCACCAGGUUGCCUAAGGAGGGGUGAACCGGCCCAGGUCGGAAACGGAGCAGGUCAAAACUCCCGUGCUGAUCAAAAUAUGCCUUCUGAGGGCACCUGGGUGGCUCAGUCAUUGAGCGUCUGCCUUCC
rnacentral:SRP_RNA from 1 species